GGCGAACGGGUGAGUAACACGUGAGUAACCUGCCCAUCACUCUGGGAUAAGCGCUGGAAACGGCGUCUAAUACUGGAUACGAGCAGCGACCGCAUGGUCAGUUGCUGGAAAGACUGGUUCGGUGAUGGAUGGACUCGCGGCCUAUCAGCUUGUUGGUGAGGUAAUGGCUCACCAAGGCGACGACGGGUAGCCGGCCUGAGAGGGUGACCGGCCACACUGGGACUGAGACACGGCCCAGACUCCUACGGGAGGCAGCAGUGGGGAAUAUUGCACAAUGGGCGCAAGCCUGAUGCAGCAACGCCGCGUGAGGGAUGACGGCCUUCGGGUUGUAAACCUCUUUUAGUAGGGAAGAAGCCUUCGGGUGACGGUACCUGCAGAAAAAGCACCGGCUAACUACGUGCCAGCAGCCGCGGUAAUACGUAGGGUGCAAGCGUUGUCCGGAAUUAUUGGGCGUAAAGAGCUCGUAGGCGGCUUGUCGCGUCUGCUGUGAAAACCCGAGGCUCAACCUCGGGCCUGCAGUGGGUACGGGCAAGCUAGAGUGCGGUAGGGGAGAUUGGAAUUCCUGGUGUAGCGGUGGAAUGCGCAGAUAUCAGGAGGAACACCGAUGGCGAAGGCAGAUCUCUGGGCCGUAACUGACGCUGAGGAGCGAAAGCAUGGGGAGCGAACAGGAUUAGAUACCCUGGUAGUCCAUGCCGUAAAC
rnacentral:rRNA from 2 species